rnacentral:rRNA from 1 species
UACAGAGGUCCCGAGCGUUGUUCGGAUUCACUGGGCGUAAAGGGUGCGUAGGUGGUGAGGUAAGUCGGAUGUGAAAUCUCCGAGCUCAACUCGGAAAUGGCAUUGGAAACUACCUUGCUUGAGGGUUGGAGGGGGGACUGGAAUGCUUGGUGUAGCAGUGAAAUGCGUAGAUAUCAAGUGGAACACCAGUGGCGAAGGCGAGUCCCUGGACAACACCUGACACUGAGGCACGAAAGCUAGGGGAGCGAAAGGG